rnacentral:lncRNA from 1 species
UGGGGGAAUUGGGAAAGAAGGGGUUUAUGAAGAAGAAAAUAGAGUCAAAGGAAUGGUGACGUCAUUUAGUGGAAAUUCCUUUGGCUUUUUUUUAUUUAUUUAGUCUUUUAUUUGUUAAUUCCUUCUUUCACUUUUUUUUUUAUAUUCUUUUUCUACUUUUUCUUAUUUUCAUGUUUCACGUCCAAGAAUUCGAUUCAAUUAAAAUUUAUAUUGAAAAAUCUUAUAUUAUAAAAUAAAAUGCUACUUAACAAAGGUGAUUUUACAAUAAGAAUUUGAAUUCAAAUAUCUUUA